UACGGAGGGUGCAAGCGUUAUCCGGAUUUACUGGGCUUAAAGGGUGUGUAGGCGGACUUUUAAGUCCGUGGUGAAAUCUCCGGGCUCAACCCGGAAACUGCCAUGGAUACUAUAGGUCUUGAAUGUUGUUGAGGUGGGCGGAACGGGUCAUGUAGCGGUGAAAUGCAUAGAUAUGACCCGGAACACCGAUUGCGAAGGCAGCCCACUAAGCAACGAUUGACGCUGAGGCACGAAAGCGUGGGGAUCAAACAGG
rnacentral:rRNA from 1 species